UACGUAGGGUGCGAGCGUUAAUCGGAAUUACUGGGCGUAAAGCGUGCGCAGGCGGUUCGUUAUGUCCGAUGUGAAAGCCCCGAGCUUAACUUGGGAAUGGCAUUGGAAACUGGCGGGCUGGAGUGCGGCAGAGGGGGGUGGAAUUCCACGUGUAGCAGUGAAAUGCGUAGAGAUGUGGAGGAACACCGAUGGCGAAGGCAGCCCCUGGGCCGACACUGACGCUCAGGCACGAAAGCGUGGGGAGCAAACAGG
rnacentral:rRNA from 1 species